AGAUUUACAUGCUGCUUUUCUAUUAUGAAAUCUGAUUUUUGAUUUGGUAAAGCUGUAAUAUUUUUUCCAGAUAUAAGCUUAAGCUAUUAGGGAAUGACUCAACUAUAUUUAACCUUACAAUAUCAUGCCAUUUUUGUUUCAGGUAUGUCAAUGUUCCUCAAGAAAUCAACAGGCUGAGGUGCAGGGUGAACUAUCACGCUCUUAAAUUUCUUCCCGAGAUAGAGCAGAUGGCUGAUUUAUUGGCAUCAAGGAUGAGAAACCGCACUGGAAGUUCCAAUCCUUAUAUGUUAUGGAGGUCAUGAAGAUAUUGGAGAUUGACCUUGAAAGUGGAUGGAUUUUGCCCAAGUUAUUUCAGUGGGAAAGGAAAGCAAAUCACUUCUACACACAAAAAGACAUUGAUCAGGUCCGGGCCGAGUGGGCAAAGUAUGUCAGCCAAUUUCAACAAAGCUAGUGUGUCGAGAAGAUUCUAAUUUUGGACAUGCAUCAUCUAUAACCCAUAUUAACUAGUUAUGCAGUUGGUCUAAGUAUCUAUUUUUGGCCUGCAAGUACAGUUUAUGAUCAGUAGUAUGAGAUAUCAGUGUUUUUUGGGUUACAUUUGUUGA